CUUCUUGAACUGUGGUGCCCAGAACUGGACACAGUACUCCAGGUGAGGUCUGACCAGAGCAGAAUACAGUGGCACUAUAUUCUGCUCUGGUCAGACCUCACCUGGAGUACUGUGUCCAGUUCUGGGCACCACAGUUCAAGAAGGACA